CACGUAGGGGCCAAGCGUUGUCCGGAUUCAUUGGGCGUAAAGAGCUCGUAGGCGGUUCAGUUAGUCGGGUGUGAAAUCUCCGGGCUCAACCCGGAGGGGCCACCCGAUACUGCUGUGACUUGAGUCCGGUAGGGGAGUGGGGAAUUCUCGGUGUAGAGGUGAAAUUCGUAGAUAUCGAGAGGAACACCGGUGGCGAAGGCGGCCAACUGGACAGAUACUGACGCUGAGAACUCGAAAGCGUGGGGAGCAAACAGGA
rnacentral:rRNA from 1 species